rnacentral:rRNA from 1 species
AUUGAACGCUGGCGGCAGGCUUAACACAUGCAAGUCGAGCGGAGAUGAGGUGCUUGCACCUUAUCUUAGCGGCGGACGGGUGAGUAAUGCUUAGGAAUCUGCCUAUUAGUGGGGGACAACAUUCCGAAAGGAAUGCUAAUACCGCAUACGUCCUACGGGAGAAAGCAGGGGAUCUUCGGACCUCGCGCUAAUAGAUGAGCCUAAGCCGGAUUAGCUAGUUGGUGGGGUAAAGGCCUACCAAGGCGACGAUCUGUAGCGGGUCUGAGAGGAUGAUCCGCCACACUGGGACUGAGACACGGCCCAGACUCCUACGGGAGGCAGCAGUGGGGAAUAUUGGACAAUGGGCGGAAGCCUGAUCCAGCCAUGCCGCGUGUGUGAAGAAGGCCUUUUGGUUGUAAAGCACUUUAAGCGAGGAGGAGGCUACCUAGAUUAAUACUCUGGGACAGUGGACGUUACUCGCAGAAUAAGCACCGGCUAACUCUGUGCCAGCCGCCGCCGUAAAAC